GACUACCAGGGUAUCUAAGCCCGUUCGCUACCCUAGCUUUCGUUCCUCAGCGUCAGAAAAGAUCCAGUGAGCCGCUUUCGCCACCGGUGUUCCAGAUGAUAUCAACGCAUUUCACCGCUCCACCAUCUGUUCCGCUCACCUCUAUCUCCCUCAAGCCUGACGGUUUGAAGCGCAAUUCCUCGGUUGAGCCGAGGGAUUUCACACCUCACCUGUCGGGCCGCCUACGAACUCUUUAAGCCCAGUGAUACCGAAUAACGUUCGGACGGUUCGUCUUACCGCGGCUGCUGGCACGAACUUAGCCCGUCCUUCCUCCUAAGAUCACUCAACUAUGAGAGAGUACCCUCAUAGAUUUGUUCCCUUACGACAGCGGUUUACAACCCGAGGGCCUUCAUCCCGCACGCGGCGUCGCUCGGUCAGGGUUUCCCCCAUUGCCGAAGAUUCUCGACUGCAGCCCCCCGUAGG
rnacentral:rRNA from 1 species